rnacentral:rRNA from 1 species
GACGAACGCUGGCGGCGUGCUUAACACAUGCAAGUCGAACGGAAAGGCCCUGCUUUUGUGGGGUGCUCGAGUGGCGAACGGGUGAGUAACACGUGAGUAACCUGCCCUUGACUUUGGGAUAACUUCGGGAAACUGGGGCUAAUACCGGAUAGGAGCUCCUGCUGCAUGGUGGGGGUUGGAAAGUUUCGGCGGUUGGGGAUGGACUCGCGGCUUAUCAGCUUGUUGGUGGGGUAGUGGCUUACCAAGGCUUUGACGGGUAGCCGGCCUGAGAGGGUGACCGGCCACAUUGGGACUGAGAUACGGCCCAGACUCCUACGGGAGGCAGCAGUGGGGAAUAUUGCACAAUGGGCGGAAGCCUGAUGCAGAAACGCCGCGUGCGGGAUGACGGCCUUCGGGUUGUAAACCGCUUUCGCCUGUGACGAAGCGUGAGUGACGGUAAUGGGUAAAGAAGCACCGGCUAACUACGUG